ensembl:misc_RNA 7SK 7SK RNA
GGAUGUGAGGGUGAUUUGGCUGAAACAUCUGUCACCCCAUUGAUUGCCAGGGUUGAUUCUGCUGAUCUGGCUGGCUAGGCGGGUGUCCCCUUCCUCCCCCACCAUUCCAUGUGCUUCCCUCCAGAAGCUUCGAGCUCAGUCGAAGAGGAGGGCCUUCCCUGAAUAGAGACAGACCAGGUCUUCAGUCUAGGGUAUAUGAGUAGCUGCACUCCCCUGCCACAACCUUCAAAAAAGCUCUUAAGAAAACUCUAGAGGCCUGAGGAGACAGCAACAGACUUG